CGAAUCCGAAGGAUGAGUUUGUUUAAAUAUGUUAAUGAGUAAGACACAUGGUAUAUAAAAUUUGUAAUAUAAAUAAAAUGAUUGACAGCUUCAAGACCUUCAACUAAUAUUAGAAAUUGAUCAGGUUACAGUUUUAUCCAAUGAAAUGGAAGCUCGCGCAAGUCACUUUUGCGCUUCGUGUAUGAUCGUCUGUAUAUUUCAUGUAAUAGAACCCCUGAAUUUGUAGAAAGUAAAGAAAAUGUCGGAUUUUCCCGAUUUUUUUUUAGUUUUGCAACCUGUGUAUGAUUGUAUGAGCAGGUAAUUUCAUAAUGUCAUCCGACUGAGGUAAACAAAAAUGUCGGAUUCCAGCGAAUAGGAUUAAAUGAUUAUUCUAAUGACGGUAAGAAUUGUUUUUCUUUGUUUUCAAUGUAUCAUACAAAUUAAUCAUAUUUUACAGAAUUUUCA
rnacentral:lncRNA from 1 species